rnacentral:rRNA from 1 species
CCCGCACAAGCAGCGGAGCGUGUGGUUUAAUUCGAUGUUACACGAAGAACCUUACCAGGGUUUGACAUGCAAGUGGUAGGAAGCCGAAAGGUGACCGACCCUUCGGGGAGCUUGCACAGGUGCUGCAUGGCUGUCGUCAGCUCGUGUCGUGAGAUGUUCGGUUAAGUCCGCUAACGAGCGCAACCCUCGCUGUGUGUUAUAUGUGUCACACGGGACUGCCGGUCUUAAGCCGGAGGAAGGUGGGGAUGAUGUCAAGUCAGCAUGGCCUUUAUAUCCUGGGCUACACACACGCUACAAUGGCCAACACAAUAGGUUGCUAAGCCGCGAGGUGGCGCCAAUCCAUAAAGUUGGUCUCAGUUCAGAUUGUAGGCUGCAACCCGCCUGCAUGAAGAUGGAGUUGCUAGUAAACGCAGGUCAGCUAUACUGCGUUGAAUACGUUCCCGGGGCUU